AUUGAACGCUGGCGGCAGGCCUAACACAUGCAAGUCGAACGGUAACAGGAAGCAGCUUGCUGCUUCGCUGACGAGUGGCGGACGGGUGAGUAAUGUCUGGGAAACUGCCUGAUGGAGGGGGAUAACUACUGGAAACGGUAGCUAAUACCGCAUAACGUCGCAAGACCAAAGAGGGGGACCUUAGGGCCUCUUGCCAUCGGCUGUGCCCAGAUGGGAUUAGCUAGUAGGUGGGGUAACGGCUCACCUAGGCGACGAUCCCUAGCUGGUCUGAGAGGAUGACCAGCCACACUGGAACUGAGACACGGUCCAGACUCCUACGGGAGGCAGCAGUGGGGAAUAUUGCACAAUGGGCGAAAGCCUGAUGCAGCCAUGCCGCGUGUAUGAAGAAGGCCUUCGGGUUGUAAAGUACUUUCAGCGGGGAGGAAGGGAGUAAAGUUAAUACCUUUGCUCAUUGACGUUACCCGCAGAAGAAGCACCGGCUAACUCCGUG
rnacentral:rRNA from 1 species